rnacentral:ncRNA from 2 species
AGAAAUAACUAGGGGAGUCCAAUGAGCUGGGCUGAGAAAAAAACGCGAUGAAGUUUUUAAACCCUCGGGACCUGAUCUGGAUCAUACCAGCGUGGGGAAGUUAUCAUGUUAUACC